AUGAGGGAGACGACUACCUGUCAUUGCCACUGCCGCCGGGUCGCGGAUGGAGGCCUCGCCAGGACCCGUCCUCCUUCCCCCAGAGCUUCCCUACCCACCUGGGCAAACAGGGCAUCUGGGACGGGUGACGCUCGAACGUUUCUCAGACAGCCAGGCCUACACAGACAGGCCUGGAGACAUUCAACCCCCACAGGGGAGGACGGGAGGCCCAGGCGGUCUACCUCCUGUCUCCUCGCUCAUUUGCCCAUCGCCAUCUCAGUGGUCUCCCCGGGAAUCCUGCAGGGUCAGCCUCCCCCGGGCAGGUGGGCCCGGCCACCGCUCUCCCGACACCUGGCUUGUUGGCACCAGGGAGGGCCUCGGUGCACGGGGGCCUUAGAGGGAAGUGAGCCCACGAGAAGCAACCCUGGGUCUCAAAGAGGACAUUUGUGGUUUGCAGGAGAAAGGAGGCUAAAUUUUGAGAAGUGGUGGCACAAGGGGAUGGGGACUUGCCAAGCCAGCCACCUGGGCGUUGUACUGUCUUUAUUUUUAAAACCACUAAAGUGCAAGACUUCCUUUUGCACUUUUCUCCACUUUUUUUUUUUUUUUUCUCCUCCUGGGUUUUUGUUUCUUUUUAUAAACAUACUUUCUGGGUUUUCUAAUGGAGUUAUAUGGUCUAGCCAUCCUCACAGACCCUGGCCCCCCUCUCAAACUCCUCUGGGUGGGGAAAGGGAAGGUGGGGAGCGUCAGCCACCUUCUCAGGUCCCCGGCCACCAGCCUGAGUCCCGAAUCUCCCGCCACCGUCGCCGCCACCACCACCGCUGCCACCACCGCCACCACCACCACCACCACACAGUAGCCCACACGGAUAGACAGUUGUCAGACAAGAUUCCUUCAGAUUCCGAGUUGCCUACCGGUUUUUUUUUUUCUUUUUUGAAGACAGCAAUAACCACAGCACAUAUUACUGUAGCUCUUUGUAGUGUUACGUACAUACAUAUCAUAGCUCUAUUCUCUCCCUUUGUUUUGUUUUCGACUUUUUUUUUUUUUUUUUAA
rnacentral:lncRNA from 1 species